UACGUAGGUGGCAAGCGUUGUCCGGAUUUACUGGGCGUAAAGGGCGUGCAGGCGGUUUGUUAAGUGCAGGGUGAAAGCGCCCGGCUCAACUGGGAGAGGUCCUUGCAUACUGGCGAACUCGAGGGAGGCAGAGGAAAGUGGAAUUCCCGGUGUAGUGGUGAUAUGCGUAGAUAUCGGGAGGAACACCUGUGGCGAAGGCGGCUUUCUGGGCCUCACCUGACGCUGAGACGCGAAAGCGUGGGGAGCGAACCGG
rnacentral:rRNA from 1 species